rnacentral:rRNA from 1 species
AGAGUUUGAUUCUGGCUCAGGAUGAACGCUAGCGGCAGGCCUAAUACAUGCAAGUCGAACGGUAAACACCCUUCGGGGUGUUGAGAGUGGCGGACGGGUGCGCAACGCGUAUGCAACCCACCCCGACGGGCGCACAGCCGGUGGAAACGCCGGGUAAUGCGCCAUGCGACCCGCGCGGGGCAUCCCGUGCGGGCCAAAGCGGCGACGCGGUCGGGGACGGGCAUGCGUCCCAUUAGAUGGUAGGCGGGGUGACGGCCCACCUAGUCGACGAUGGGUAGGGGAUCUGAGAGGACGGUCCCCCACACUGGUACUGAGACACGGACCAGACUCCUGCGGGAGGCAGCAGUAAGGGAUAUUGGGCAAUGGGGGUAACCCUGACCCAGCCAUGCCGCGUGAGGGAAUGAGGCCCUACGGGUCGUGAACCUCUUUUAUUCGGGGACAAGGACGGCGUCGCGAACGCUGUUUGAGGGUACCGAAGGAAUAAGCGUCGGCUAACUCCGUGCCAGCAGCCGC